GAUGAACGCUAGCGGCAGGCUUAAUACAUGCAAGUCGAGGGAGAAUGAGGCUUCGGCCUCAGGGAACCGGCGCACGGGUGCGUAACGCGUACACAACAUGCCUUAUACUGGAGUAUAGCCUCGGGAAACUGGGAGUAAUCCUCCAUAACAUUAUCGGGUGGCAUCAUCUGGUAAUUAAAGCUCAGGCGGUAUAAGAUUGGUGUGCGUAUGAUUAGCUAGUUGGUAGGGUAAUGGCCUACCAAGGCGACGAUCAUUAGCUGGCGUGAGAGCGCGACCAGCCACACUGGAACUGAGACACGGUCCAGACUCCUACGGGAGGCAGCAGUAGGGAAUAUUGGACAAUGGGCGAAAGCCUGAUCCAGCCAUGCCGCGUGAUGGAUGAAGGCCCUCUGGGUUGUAAACAUCUUUUAUCAGGGAAGAAACACCUCGUUUCUACGAGGCUUGACGGUACCUGAUGAAUAAGCACCGGCUAACUCCGUGCCAGCCGCCGCGGUAA
rnacentral:rRNA from 1 species